rnacentral:rRNA from 1 species
UACGGAGGGUGCAAGCGUUAUCCGGAUUCACUGGGUUUAAAGGGUGCGUAGGUGGGCAAGUAAGUCAGUGGUGAAAUCUCCGGGCUUAACCCGGAAACUGCCAUUGAUACUAUUUGUCUUGAAUACUGUGGAGGUCAGCGGAAUAUGUCAUGUAGCGGUGAAAUGCUUAGAUAUGACGCAGAACACCAAUUGCGAAGGCAGCUUGCUACACUACUAUUGACACUGAGGCACGAAAGCGUGGGGAUCAAACAGG